rnacentral:miRNA from 1 species
AAGUCCAACAGCUUAGCCUGA